GUUCCAUGUCUGUCUGACAGAGAAUGCACAGACCAAACCGCUGAAUCUAAAGGGAAGAAUUUUUGAAAAUUCAUUUUCUAAGGGGAUCGUAUAGGCAAUUUUUUACCACGUAUAGAUCGAAGUGAACCGUAGAGAAGAAGAAUUUGAGAAAUGAGAUGUUAUAUUAGAAAGAAUAAUAUACUAGCAAUUUGCACCUUAUUAGAAAGGUACAUUAAAACCUGCGUAAAAGUCCUGCGUGAACGAAGUCAUGGGUAAAAGCUAGUUGGUUAUGUAUAGACCUUUUACUGUAUGUCGGGUGGUUCCUCCAUGUUAGGAUUUCCAUUCUAGUGUCUUUCCUUUCUUUUUGUUUAUGGAAUCUUGGAUUUUGAUGUACAACGUUUGGUUCUUUUCUUAUGGUUUUCAAUGUAAUUUUUUAUUAGCUGUUUUUCUAUUUCCAUUUUAAAAUGGGUACAUGUUGUGAUUGAAUGUCCCGUGCUGUUGUAAGCUAAAAUGGCAUAUUUUACAUUUGUACUUAUUGGGUAUGAUUUAAAUUUUUCCUGGUUGUUAAAUAGAUGUAUAUAUCCUGCAAGUGUACUGCGGAAUCUUUCUAGUGUUUCAUUAGAUUCUGGGUGUUGUGUCGAUGUGAAAUAUAGAUUUAUUUUGUGGAGAUUCAAAAUGUCUUUAACUAAUUUAUUAUUGAAUUAAAGUCCAUUAUCUACAAUUGGAGUGGGUUAUAAAAUUUAUUGCAUCUACGAUUUCACUACCUUGACUCGAUUUCAAUAAAUAUGCUUGAGCAUAUUUUGAGAAUGAGUCAAUUAUUGUUAAGAAUUUUUUGUUGUAUUCAUGUGGAUGAUCUCAAAUGGUUUGCGAGGUGUAGGAGUUUUAUUAAAGUUUCAUUUUAAGGGAGUUCUAUCAUAUUUUGCUCAUAGACGACAUCGCAAGUGUUGAAGAAGGUUUGUAUGGAAUUUUUUUUUAAAUCCCAAGUCAUCAUAGACUGUACAAAACUCUCAUUGGUCCUAUCCUUCAAUUUUCUACUUUCAUAUGGAAUCCAAACUUUCUUCCUCAUUCUUAAUUUUUAGAUAAAGUUCAAAUAAAUGUAUUAGAAUAUUUCAUUUUUGAUCUCCUCUGAGAUCCAAGAGCUGUAAUUUUUGUUAAAAGUGAAUCUCGCAGUUUAACACGUUGCAAACAUAAUUCAUCUGUUGCUCCGAUGUGUGCAGGGGAUCAGUGUUCGUUUCUACAGAAAGCAUAUAAUUUGGCGUUGACUCGGGGAGAGAGAUUUUUUUUAAAUAAACUAUCUGAACACCUUUUCAACUUCUUCGUACUGCCGAUAACCCCAGAUCUUACACGCGUAGGUCAGAAUAGCUCGGCAUGCUCCGCUGAACAUCCUCAUCUUCCUGGUGGACCAGGGAACUAAGUCUUGCCUUAAAAGAGCACCCCAUAUUGAAUUUGUUGAGGUUGCUUUUCCUUUCAAUUGCUUCCUCAUAGACAGUUUUGACAAUAAUGUAAUUCCUAGAUAUUUAUAACUGUUACAGAUCUCUAUGCCAUUAUCUUUAUAGAACCAUUUUUCAGAUUAAUCCCAACAUCCUCUUUCCUCGAAUAUAACCAUCUUCGAUUUUGAUAGGUUUCAGUUCAAAUUCCAUAAAUCUCAGUAAGCCUCUUGGAUCUUGAUGUGGUGCUGUAAUUGUCACAAAUUGAUACAUCAUCCAGAAUAAUAUUUUUAUAAUGAUAUCUCCCAACCUCCCUAUAAACUCGAGUAUCUCAUCCAAGUCAUCAAUGAAUAAAGAGAAUAGCAACAGACUUAGGGCGUAGCUUAUCCAAUCGAUCGUCUAUCUAAGGUACAAGAUGCCUAUUUUUGAUAAUUUUUUUGUUCUGUUGUCUAUAAUCUACACAAAUUCACCUAGUUCCAUCCUUUUUGAGCAGUAAGACCAAAGGGCAUACUAAGAAUCAGUCGCUUCAAUUAUUUCUUGCUUUAGCCACUAUGAAAUUUGUGACUUGACAUAUCUUAAUUUAUUAGCCAGCCUCCGUGGGUGGAUUUUUACAACAGGGGAUUCUGUAAUUUUAUUAGUCCUGUACCACUCCUUUAGGUCUCAAACAUAAGUUCUAAGUACUGACAAUAAUUUCAUUUACCUGGGGCUGGUAGUAUUGAACAUACGUGGAUUCAACAAUAAAAUAAUUAAUUUUGUCAAAUCAUUUUGAGGGGUCAUCGGCGAUGAAAACAUCUCAAAUAAGAGCGCCUUUAGUAUGGAUUGUAUUGGAUCAGUGGGAGUAGGCACAUUAGCCAAGGACCUAAAAGCCAGCACUGCUAAUUGGAUGUUGCAGAUUGCUCGUCGAAAAAUGACUUGGGCUGUGGUCGAAUCGACAUCGCUCCUCAGUUGCUCCUCAAUUGAACUUCGUUUGAGUGGUUUAAUGAAGGCCUCUUUCCUUGAAAAUUGGCAAGCAUAUUCAGGAAAAAUGGAUGGAUCUAGGAUCGCUCUGCUACCAGAUUUCCACGACCUCCUCGACUCUUUGUUGAUGAGAUGGUGGAAAAAGAGGUGCGGUGCACUAAAAAAGGAGAUUACGGGAAUAAGGUUAAAUUAUUAAAAAUAAAGGUACUUCUGUAUUGUUAAGAAAAAAACAAAUAAAGGGGGAGAAAAGUUUUAUCCAAAUGAUGCCUUUUUGGGUUAUUUUAAUUACACUGCACUUAAUUUGGGGGUCCCCUCUGCAGCAGGUCUGUCCACAACGUGUCCUUAGCGCACCUGGCGCAUAACGCUGGCGGAGUCUCUUUCCCCGCUGGAAAAGGGUGGCCACGCCCCCGCUUCCACGGUUCACGUGUCGCGAGAUCUUCUGAGUCGUGACAAGGAUAUAAAGCUACCCAAAAAAACCACUGCCGAACCAGCUAAACAACAACAGGAAGAAAGCGGUGAGACAGAAAAAGUAACUCACCGCGAGGACCAGUGGAAAAUUGUAUCAAAGAAGAAACAUACAAAGGAAAGCACAGAAAACAAAGCAAGAUAUGAUAAAAAGAUCGCUGAAGAUGUUAGAAAAUCAGUACAGAAGCAGGAUAAGGUCCUCAUAGACUUAGCAGAGGGAAUGUUCCCCUCUGAAUUUCUUACGAACGUCAAAGAGGUCAACAAUCCAAGACGCACAAAAAUUAAAAUAGAUGGCAUACGCACCACCUCCAAAGGUGGAAUUGCAAUUCGGGUCAACGGAGACGCUGAUAGAGAUGCCAUCUUGAACGAUCCGGCCUUCCAAGGAAUUGGUGUUAAACCAAGUCCCCGGAGGAAGAGGAAUCCUCGUGUCAUCCUUUUAAGGGUUCCAAAAGAAAGGGAUUCCAGUUAAUGCUGAAUAUAUCAAGGUUUACAGAUGGCUUCAAAACCAAGUAUGAGCCAGAAGCCUGGCAUUUAUGGUAAUAAACCAGGGAAUAGAAUUCACACAAGCCUUGGAUAACAUGCCACCAUAUUUCAAACGGAAAAUGUGGCUAUUGAACAUAUUGUGCCAGGGAGAUUGAAAGGUAAAAUACCUAUUGCGUGCCCCAUCGUAUCGAGAAAAUCUGCGGGAUUUUGCGGAUACCUUAUUGUUAAUUGCAAAUAUAUUUGAAGAUGUGAGUCAACAGGACUUGGUCGAAAUAAUUAAACAACGUGUCCAGCCCAGAUUCUUGGCACUGUUGCACGACGAUCUACAGGAGAAUUGAAGAAAUAUUCGCUAGUCGGAACGGAUCAGGAAAAAACGGCAGGGAAAAUAUUAAAUUGGGCGAUAAAAAAAAACAUCAUUUGAGAGCUAAAGAGAAGCAAGAAAUUUAUUAUUCGUCGGAAACAGAAUCGUCGCUUAGCUCGGUACGAGUCGCCUCUUCUAAAUGAUUUAUAUAAAAUAUAUAAAUAGAAAACACUUCAAAGCUAACAGAGAAUAUUCCCACGUCGCACCGGCAAGGAUUAAGGAUAUUUCUAAAACAAAAACAGAUAACGUGGGUAUGGAUACACAGAUUAAUAGUCUGAUAAGAACCGAACAUGAAUUAUUUUGUCCAGAUAGAAUAGUAGCUGAUUGGGUCGUAUACUCCGGCAACCAACUCAGCUCAACAUAAACCCAUUUUCAUAACAAAAAAUGGAGUUUCAAAAUCAGAAAGAAAAACUCACAAGUAUCAUGAAAGGAUUAGGUACAAU